AGUAGAGGAUAAAUGUUUGUUUAGAGGUUAGAAAACCCACUGAAUUAGAUUUUUAAUUCACUCACUCACUGUGUUUGUGUAGAAGCGAGUUCUCUAUUAAACCCAAGAGAAUGAGAUUACUUUAUGACUAUCAUUACACCGGUCCUUUCCAAGUACAAUACUGCAACCUUGUUACUCGUUAUAACUUGUGCAUCGUCAGAACCAAGUUGGAACAAAUGUCGAAUGUCGACAGGGAAUUUAGAAAUUCCCAUGCAAAUGCUAUGAGAGUAAACCGAUUGCUUAUCUGAAUAGACGUCAAUAAAAGCCAGUUCAAGGCCUAAAUGGAGUUUGGUACUAUGCAAUAAGACCGCAGACUGAGUAGGACUGAUUGAUAUUUCAUCAGUCCACACGAUCAUAUUGUUAUCAUCCCAGUAUUGUCUACUGUCGCCGGUACUAACAUAAACGCUGGGAGGAAGACAUUGCAACACAGUUACCAACAAUUAGAUUAAACAGGAUCAUAUGACAAUAAGAAGAUAUGACGCUAAGUUAUGAGAUAUGACGUAAGACUUGUCACUGAGAGGUUUUGGUCGGAGCAUAAGAAUUGAGAUUAGUUAGCGGAAUUCAUUUCCAUGUAAUUUGUGGUGAACACAUUAAAUGUAACAUAUAAUCCCUCCUUAUCUCACUGGCCUGACCCUUAACCUCUCCUGGUCCUGUCUGUGAGAGAAGAACCAGGAAGUUGGAGCCUGUCCAGUGGUUUAGGGCUUUAUCUCCCUAGAACUCCUUGUGAGUUUAUAUUAUCCUCUCGACGAAGCUAAUAUGAGAGAAAUGCCCUCUGUGGAAUAUCUUUUCCCCCGGGCUCCAUAACUCAAAGGGGCAGGACGCUUGGUUAACUACAUUAUUAGCAUAGGCGCUUUCUUAACUGUGUUCAAGAGUGUGGGGGAAAAAAAUAUGGUUACUUCCUGGGGUUAUUUUCGUCUUCUUGGCCCUGCUAAAUAGUUCCAUAACCCUCACAAUCGUGCUGCUUGCUCAAGGCAGGAUGGGAAGGACUCCGGCCCUCCACUAGACCUCGGAACAACAGAGCCUCAUUCACUGAAGGGAUGUAGUGGCGGCACCCCGGCCAGCGCUGUCGUAGCCGCUAAUUAAAGCAUGGGUAGCGUCCAGGUGUCCUAGGGCGUGUGCGUCGCGGUGGUAAAAUCGAAACAAUCCUGUUUACAUAAAUAUGUGUAUGUUGGUCACCCAUUUUCGGGAGAGUCACGAGUCCCUGAGAAUUGAUAACUGAAAAUGUCUGUGUGGUCGUUUAAUAGGAAGCCGUAUAGUGGUUAAGGUGUUUGACUCUCAGCUAAAAGGCUCUGGGUCCGAUCCCCUACGUCCACAUCUACCUAUAGGCGUCCUUUACGGUGAAACCCUUGCUUCCUCCAUAAUAACUAGUAUCUGAAUUUGAUUGUGCAUAUAGUUCCAAUUAUUUAAAGUAACAGAACGGUCAGACUCAAAAACAGUUACACAAAAGCAAACCUAACUAACACCCUUACUUCUGCUACUAUAGUAGCAUUUGAAUCACAGUCCGGCCGACAGGUGGUUUUUCAACAUGCGUCCUUCUAUGUCGUGGAAACUCAUUUCCAUUACGUUUAUGAAUGGGUGUGUGCUGCAUGCGUGCGUAUUUCAAUGACACACAUAAAGCAUGGCACACUUUGUGCGUGGAGGCAUAUAUUUGCCCAUGUAGCACCAUGUGUGUGUGUGUGUGUGUGUGUGUGUGUGUGUGUGUGUGUGUGUGUGUGUGUGUGUGUGUGUGUGUGUGUGUGUGUGUGUGUGUGUGUGUGUGUGUGUGUGUGUGUGUGUGUGUGUGUGUGUGUGUGUGUGUGUUUUCCAAGGUGGAAACUUGCUGUGUUUGCAUGGUGGCAAACAGGCAUGCGAUAAUCCACCCCACGAACACACAUCCUUUUUUUUUAAACAAACAAGUGCACCUUGCCGUUAUUUUUAUUUUGGAACAUGUCCUAUGUUGCGGUUUGGAGUUUGCUUCACUGAAAGACUGAGCUUCAAAUGAAUGGGCGAGAGGCCGCUUCACUGUGUGGAAAUCCUAAAUGGGCGUGCGUGGUAGAGGCGCAGGGUGGCAAGUGGUGUUCCGACUUGACUAAACAACUCUGUGCUUCCUUGUUCCCUGUAAGGGAGUCUUCUCAUAAGAAAAGUAGUAGCCCCCCCCCCCCCCCCCCCCCUCUGACCAGUGCGGUUUCCGCGUAGUUCAACGUUGCAUCAUCGUUCACGGGUAACCCUUGCAUGUUUGCACUCCUCCGGGUGGCUGACUUAAUCAAUCUCCCACUCAUUAGCUCACUCUCUCUCUCAGAUUUCUCUGCCCUGGCUAUGUCGGUCACUUCUCGGGCAAGUACCAGUUGAUCCUUUGGCUGAAGACUACCAGGAGUGGGCCUGGGUCGAGACGGUAUAGCUGACAUAGUUACCAUCCCUGUUACUCCUCCCCUGGCAGGUGUUAGUUUAAGGAAGUUGUUACAGGUUUAAUGGUAUGUUUGGCUGAAUACCUAAGGUAUUAUAACUUGGCCCAGAGUACUGUGAAAGCCCUACUGGCAGACUAGUUUUCCAUGAUGGUGUUCAAGUAUUGCGGCAUAUAACUGCCAAAUAUUGCGAGCAAAAAACAACUGCACGCACACAACCAACACUUCCGUGCACACGGAUGAUGAUUGCGAGAGCUUGUGAUACGGGUGUUAAUUAUUUUUGGUACCAAGUGGGUUGAGCCAGCCAUGGCCGUCAUAACUAUAAAUGUGAUUGAUACCUGAAAAAAGAUCUGAUCAGUUUUUGCAGACCAAGAGCAAAGAGUUAGUCGGCACGGGGUGCGUGAGUCGGCUUCCCAUUAUGUGCCCCGCUCAAUAAAUGAUUUUCUCCUUGCCUCACAGGCUAUAUACUUGCUCUCGCAAACAGAUAAAUACUGGGCGCGCUGACAUUAAAAGUGCUUGUUUUAAUCGUUUGUGUGCAGUACAUGGAUGUGUUCGUUGUGCAUGCGCUCAAAGUCCUUUUUGCCAUCGUUUUUUUUUUCAUUUCUGGCAGUGAUAUGCUUCUAAGGUUUCCUGCUUGGCUUACUGCUUAGGAGCUCGCUGUCUGUGCGAGAAAUGAAAAACAUCUUCUACCUGUAAUCAGGUUUUUAGUCUGUUAUUUUGCCAUGCACUUGCAAUGGCCCCUGCCUGAGCAUGUGAUAAACCACAGGAAAUGGCUGUAACUCAUUUUUGGUUGUAAAACUGUCCCCUGUAACACUGUACAAGCCAUACUCUACACUUUUCCAAUCAUUUGCUCCUUCCAGCCUGCUAAAAACUGGCUCAACAGGCUCAUUAAAUUGACAGAAACGCAGCAACAAGGGUUUUUAUGAGGUCUUUGGCAUCUGCUUUGUGUCCGUCAAUGAAAAAUAUUAUAUUGUUACGAUUCUCCGGUCCACAAAUGGCAUGGGGGAAUCGAUUUUAACUAUAACCGUACCUAUGCCAUAUAUAGCAGAAGACACAAUUUCAAAUAAUUUAUAUUAUUUGAAAUUAGAAUGUAUUUUUGAAUUGGCUCAAAUUCAUGCCAAUUGAUAUCGCUAACCAUUCAAAAGCAGGCAUGUGGCAAUUAAUGUGUUUUUGAAGGGUUCCUUGAUGGGGCAAAUGGGCUCCUCUUAUCUGAUUGGCUGCUAAAACGUAUCAUGUUAUCUGAUUGGUUGAAGACAGGGCCGGGAAGUGGCUGCCACUCUGAUGAAAACUGCCCUCGAUCUAUAAGAGCCUGAAAUCCCUCUGGUCAGCUCCACAGCCCUCCUACCUUACUUGCUCAGAGCUCUGAUUCUCUUCCCCGGGCUCUUCCACCCGCACAGAGCACGACAACCCCGGACACGGCAGACACUCACCCAGAAGUCAUCUAGGUACCCUCUCCUGAAAACCUCCAGAAGACAUGGCUGAGGGAAUUCGAGCAGACCGUACAUUCGCACAAGCCUCACUUCAUCGCGGUGCACUGUCAGGAAGUGGGGGGGAAGAACUGUGAG